UACGAAGGGGGCGAGCGUUGUUCGGAAUUACUGGGCGUAAAGGGCGCGUAGGCGGUCCUUCAAGUCAGGCGUGAAAGCCCCGGGCUCAACCUGGGGGCUGCGCUUGAUACUGAUUGGCUUGAAUGCGGGAGAGGAUAGUGGAAUUCCCAGUGUAGAGGUGAAAUUCGUAGAUAUUCGGAAGAACACCAGUGGCGAAGGCGACUCGCUGGACAAGUAUUGACGCUGAGGUGCGAAAGCGUGGGGAGCAAACAGGG
rnacentral:rRNA from 1 species